CCAUACCCAUGGCAUGCAGAAGUUCCUGAGCCAAGGAUCGAACCUGAGCCACAGCAGUGACAACACUGAGUCUUUAACUGCUAGGCCACCAGGGAACUCCUAUUUUCCAUUUAAAAAAUUUUUAUUGAAUUAUAGUCAAUUUACAUAAAAUACUUUUUUCGAUGUGUCACUCAAGUAUUAUUCCUUGCUUCUUAGUUGAAAAUGGGGUGCUAAGAUUGAGAAUUAUUUGAAUUUCAAGUCCUUACUUUGUAGGAUUUUCCCAACAGGGUCCUCUUUCUGAAGGUGCUAUCUCAGAGUAGUAGCAGUUGCUAAUAAAACCUGACAAGUCUCAGCGGUGUAUUGAAUGGAGGCAUGAAGAGUCAAAAUAAUGCAAAAGCUACAAUCUAGGUUAAAAGUUCCAGGAGUUCCUGCUGUGGUGCAGCCAGUUAAGAAUCCAGUGUGGUCUCUGCAGUGGCUCAGGUUGCUGCUAAGGCAUGAGUUUGAUCCCCUACCCGGUGCAGUGGGUUAAGGGUAUGGCAUUGCUGCAGCUGGGGCAUCAGUCGCACCCAUGGCUCGGAUUCCAUCCCUGGCUCGGGAACUUCCAUAUGCCUCCCAUGUGGCCAAAAAAAAAAAAAAAAAAAAGCCUUCUACAAGAACUUUUUACACUGGGAAAAAAUGAAGAUGCCAUAAAUCACAACUGUAACGCUGACAUUACUAAACUAGUAUAUAGUAUCUAAUAAAUGCUAUUCCUAUACAAUUUUGAAUUUAUAAUAUCACUAAGUCAACUUUUAUUAAAGAAAUAAUUUUUCAACUUAUUAUGAGACUAAAAAGGAAGAAGGAGCAUCACCUUAUAUAAGAUUUUUAUUUGAGUAUUCUAUAAAAUUAUAAUCACAUUUAAUAUUGUUGGGAAGAAAGUAUCACUCGAUGUCAUUUGGUAAUUUUCCUGAAUGUUUAUGAGCCAGGAGUAUUCUUUACAAGAAUAUGUAAAGCAUUGCUCCAGUUGUCUGUUUUACUCCUCUUUAAAAAUUCUACAUAUGUUUCUAAAUCAAAGCUUUAUGGAAUUUAUUUUAGUAUAAACAUACAGGUACUGAGGUUUUUUGGUUUUUGUUUUUCAUCCUGAAUUCUGAAAAUCCACUGAAUUAAAAUCAGAUAUUCAUCUU
rnacentral:lncRNA from 1 species